UUUUAAGAUUCGGCUGGACAGGGUGCUGGGCCGUCUUGUCUAGACCGUGCUUUUGCCCAGAAAGGGAGGACCAGAUGAUCCUUGAGGUCCCUUCCAACCUGGUGUUCUAUGAUUCUUUGAUACAUGUAUCUUA